AGGUCCAGCCUGCCCAGUGAUAACAUGUAACGGCCGCGGUACCCUAACCGUGCGAAGGUAGCAUAAUCACUUGUUCUUUAAAUGAGGACUUGUAUCAAUGGCAUCACGAGGGUUUCACUGUCUCCUUUUUCUAAUCAGUGAAACUGAUCUCUCCGUGAAGAAGCGGAGAUUUUUUUAUAAGACGAGAAGACCCCAUGGAGCUUUAAACCCAAUUACACUCCUAUUUUUUAUUAACCUCUUAGACUAUGGAUAUUUGUAUAUUUGGUUUUAGGUUGGGGUGACCACGGAGCAUAACUUAGCCUCCAUGAUGAACGGGAUUUUACCCCUUAUCCAAGAACUACACCUCUAAGAACUAGUAUUCUAACAUAAAAUGAUCCGAUAAUCGAUCAACGAACCAAGUUACCCUGGGGAUAACAGCGCAAUCCACUUCAAGAGCUCCUAUCGACAAGUGGGUUUACGACCUCGAUGUUGGAUCAGGGUAUCCUAGUGGUGCAGCAAUUACUAAAGGUUCGUUUGUUCAACGAUUAAAACCCUACGUGAUCUGAGU
rnacentral:rRNA from 1 species